CCGCCGACGCCCUCGGCCCCCUGGCACUGGGGAAGCGCUCACCGUGCGCCCAGCACUCUUCUGAGCGCUGCGGAAGAGGCGAGCCCAUUUGGACAGCUUUUUCCAAAAAUUGGGUUGAUAGAAACUGCACUGCUUAAUGAUGAUCCAGGCUAAAUGUAUUUAACUGAAUACCCUACAAUGAUACGAUGGACAUUAUACAACAAGUUAUGCAGCCUGUUGGUGGUGGUAUUUACUGCUCAUCUGUCCUCCCUUGAAUAGAACACAAGGAGAAUGCAAAGACUCUAAGAUGGCGAUUACGGCGAGAUCUGUGAAAUCUUUGGCCAUCUCUUGUGUUCCACGUUGAAGAAUGUUUGAAAGUAUUUAAGCAGAGUGUUUCCUCCAGGCUCACAAGUCUUUAGCAAUUAUACCAGCAGUUCCAAGUGCUUUUCCAUUUUCCAUGGCUCUGAUUGCCGACUUCCUCAAAAGUUGGGCCAUGUGACAGAGACUUUGUUAGCUGCUUUUCACCUUCUGUAUACCAAAUAUUGGCGGCACCAGCAGGUCUGUUUUUCAACUCUGGGCUAGAAAAUCCAGCAACAGAGCUUUCUUCAGUCUCAUAUUUAUCCAUUCUAUUGGACUCUGAUCUCUGAAGAUUCUGAACUCCCAUCCAGGGUGCAUCUAAGUCUUUUAUCCAAAGAAAAAGAGAUUCAAGUUUAAAACAAGGCAAAGGAUUAAAAUAAGUUAUGCUGCAGUCACAUGCGCAGCAAAUGGGUCCUUCAUUUUGGCGGUACAUGGGCCCACGUGUCAAAACCAGCUUUGCAUACCCUUUGGAUUGAGCUGCAUCCCUGACUGCAUAUUUCCUCAAAGCAUUCCAGGAACUAGUUGCCCACUGGGAACCCUACGGAUGGCAGAAAUGGCAUCACUCUUUCCAAAAUCAGUUCUUCAACAUGGGGUCUUGGUGUUUCAGGACCAAGGCUCAUCUAUCAUUUGCCAAGAUAGACCCCAUCAUUAUCAAAAACAAGCUUAACUUAAUGGACUUUUGCAUUAAACGGUAGUUGAAAAAUGUACAAUUACCCUUUUAUUCAUUAUUUAUGGACACACUUAUACAUUGUUACGGGUAAAAUACCAAUUUCAAUUUUGUUUGUAAUGACGAUUUAUGUACCUUAAAAUGAUUUUAAUUCAUGGAUGCACUACAUAUUGGAUUUUUAAUAUUUUAAGUGUAUGGACUUUUUCACACGGAAUUUUCACACCUCCAAAAUGCUACCUAAAUAAAAUUUAUACUCACGAUA